UUGUUUGGAUAGAUUUUUCUUACACCAUCCUCAUUUGGUCGGAUUUCAUAGCCUUGUUUGGACAGAUUGUCCUCCUUUGAUCUAUUUUUACCAAUCUAUUUGGAUUUGAUUAUUUACAUCAUCUUCGUUUGAUUGAUUUUUACCGAUCUAGUUUGGAUGAAAUCAUUCUUCCUAUCAUCCUCAUUUGAUCAAUUUUUACCAAUCUAGUUCGGAUGACAAUUCUUCAUGAUACUUUGAUAAAGAUCCAUCUUCAUUGAG
rnacentral:lncRNA from 1 species